UACGUAGGUGGCGAGCGUUGUCCGGAUUUAUUGGGCGUAAAGCGCCCGCAGGCGGCCUGGCAAGUUUCAGGUGAAAUCUCCCGGCUUAACUGGGAGGGGUCCUGGAAAACUGUCAGGCUUGAGGCAGGGAGAGGGAUGUGGAAUUCCCGGUGUAGUGGUGAAAUGCGUAGAUAUCGGGAGGAACACCUGUGGCGAAGGCGGCUUUCUGGGCCUUACCUGACGCUGAGACGCGAAAGCGUGGGGAGCGAACCGG
rnacentral:rRNA from 1 species